rnacentral:rRNA from 1 species
AACGAACGCUGGCGGCAUGCCUAACACAUGCAAGUCGAACGAGACCUUCGGGUCUAGUGGCGCACGGGUGCGUAAGGCGUGGGAACCUGCCGUUAGGUUCGGAAUAACUCGCCGAAAGGGGUGCUAAUACCGGAUAAUGUCUCCGGACCAAAGAUUUAUCGCCUUUGGAUGGGCCCGCGUUGGAUUAGCUAGUUGGUAGGGUAAAAGCCUACCAAGGCGACGAUCCAUAGCUGGUCUGAGAGGAUGAUCAGCCACACUGGGACUGAGACACGGCCCAGACUCCUACGGGAGGCAGCAGUGGGGAAUAUUGGACAAUGGGCGAAAGCCUGAUCCAGCAAUGCCGCGUGAGUGAUGAAGGCCUUAGGGUUGUAAAGCUCUUUUACCCGGGAUGAUAAUGACAGUACCGGGAGAAUAAGCUCCGGCUAACUCCGUG